rnacentral:rRNA from 1 species
CGGAGGCGCUCAAAGGUUCUCUCAGUACGGUCGGAAAUCGUACGUAGAGUGUAAAGGCAAAAGAGAGCUUGAUUGCAAGACAUACAGGUCGAGCAAGGAUGAAAAGCGGACUUAGUGAUCCGGUGGUGCUGCGUGGAAGGGCCAUCGCUCAACGGAUAAAAGCUACCCUGGGGAUAACAGGCUUAUCUCCCCCAAGAGUCCACAUCGACGGGGAGGUUUGGCACCUCGAUGUC